GAAUAUUUUUUGACUUUGGAGGUCUCUGGGAAGAUUUUAUUAAGACAUUUAAAUAUGUUAAACACAAAAUGGGUGAUGGAUAACUAUAACUAAAAGACAGAAAGAAAUUAAGAAGGCAAAUUACAACCUUAGAAAACAAAUAUCUAAUACAUUCAUCUCUGGACAAAAUUUUCAUCUCCAGGGUAUAUGAAGACCUCUUGGAAACUGAGAACAAUAAAAACAGAAAGACCUCCAUGAAACAAGUAAAAUGCAUGAAUGAACAAAUCUGGCACAGAAAAAGAAACAUGAAAAGAUGAAAAGUGUACAACCACACUAGUAAUCAAGUAAAAACAACUACUUAAAUAUAAUUUCUUACCUACUAGAUUGGCUAAUUUAAGAGUUCUGAAAAUAGCAAAUAUUGGCAAAAGUGUAUAUUCAUAAAUCAUUUUAGAAAAUAAUGUACCAGUAUCUUGUGGAAUUUAACAUUCACAGACUCUCAAAUCUAACAGUUCCAUUCCUAAAUACAUGCCCCUGGAAAACUCUUAACAAGUAAAUAUGUUUCAAGACAAUCAAAUGUCCACUGCUGCACAAACCACAGGAUAUGCACAGUGAUAUAUUUUAUUUCAAUGAAAAGAAAUGAAUAAAUACCAAAUGACACAACUUGGUGGAAUUUUAGAAACAUAACCUUGAAUUAGUGAAGGCUGUAGUAAAAAAUCUAAAAGACAUACUAUUUUUAUCAAGUUCAGAAAUAAGCAACACUAAUCAUAUCAUAUAUAUAUAAACUAUAUUUUUAAUGGGUACAGAUGAAUUGAUGUAGAUACAAAAUUUACUUUUUUAAAAACCAGGAAUAAUGAUUAACAUAAAUUCCAAGUUAAUGACUAGAAAGAUGGGAUUGAGGAGUAACAGUAAAUCCAACAAUCUAGGUCUUAAAAUGAGUCAUAGAUUUAGAAGUAUCUGCUUUGUUAUUAUGCUUCAUUACUUAAAAACAUACACCAUAUAUUCACCGAAUAUCUAUUAUAUAUCUAGCAACAUGGUGUUUUUAAAAACUAUUUUACAACAUAUAAUAUGUACAAAUUAAUUUGUAUGGGCAUUGUUAGUAGUAAUCACACUCUGAGUGUUAUAAAUAUGGUUGUUCAGCUUUAUAGGUGGGUUCACAAUUUUAUAUUUCAUACAGAGGAGAGAGUAAAAGUUCAUCCUGGCUUUUAAACUUCAAACGAUAAUUUAUUUUUUAUUUUUUGGUACCGGGAAUCGAACUCAUGACCUCAGGCUGCCAGCCAAGUGCUUAUGCCUCUGAGCUACAUCCCCGGCCCUCAAAUGAUAAUUUAUUACCUAUAACUCCAAGUAAAUUCCAUAAAUUCUAUCAAUCUAGUGAAUGGCUUAAAAAAAAAAAAAUAAAGUAUAUGUUAUCCUUUCCCUAAGCAAAGACAAUUUCCAGCUAUCGAGGAAUUGAGAAGGACUACAUAUUCUUCAGAUCAAGCUUAAGAUCUGAAAAGCAGUCUUAGGCUCUGCGUGCACACUUCCUGGUUUCCAAGAUUCUCUUUAGGCCUCUAGAGGGAUGCUUGCUUUUUGACAUAUGGCUUUUGUUUUCUAGAGGUACGCAUAGUUCAGGUGAUAUCAAAAUACAUCUAGGUUAGCAGUACGCUUUGAGGACUGUUUAGUUCAAUUGAUGACGUGCACUUUCAUCAGAAAAGCUGCUUUGCUCCACUUCAUGGUCCCUGCCAUCUUCUUACCACCUGCCAGGUAAAAAAGGAACCAGACGACCUUGGACUGAAACUUCUAAAACCGUGAGGCAAAAGGAACCUCCUCUUAGCACAUGUCAGGUAUUUGGUCACAGCAAAGACAGGCUAACAUGUAAAUACACGUUCUUUCACUUAAACCUGGGCGGUACUCAUCAGGCCAUGGCCUUCUCUGUCCACCCACCCUGCCUCCCACCGGGUGCAAGUUCAUCCUCAAAGACCUGGCCCCCAGAAGCUCUCUGGCUGUGUUCCAGUGGCUUUGCAGCCCAGAAAAAGGUGUUUACUCUCUGAACUCCCGUUUUGUCUUAGAGGAACAGCACUGGCUUCACGGAGGACUGGAUUAGAACACCUAAGGCGCCCUCGCUCUUAGGAACACAGCGUCGUUACUGUGGGAGUCUCUAGCACAGUCUGUUCCAGAGGGAUGGAGAGCUUCCCUGGAAUUGCCGCUUAGCAGCCGUGAGGCCUUGGGCGGGUCAGCCACCGCCACUACCAGGCACCCCUGGGUGCAGUGGGGGAAUCAGCCGGCCGCGGGCGCUGUCCCUUUAAACACCGCCGGGAGGUAGGCCGCGGAAGUGACAGCACUCUGCCAGGAAAUCGGAGUCCUAGGCCGAGCGGGGCCCUCGCUCCAAAGGGUUCGCCCCUCCAGCGGCCGAAUCUCUCGCAGCCAUUCCCGCCUCCAUCCCUCUCAACUCGGAUCUCCAGAUCACUAAUCUCGGCGUCCCCGCCCGCAAGCGCUGCAGCCUAGGCCCAGCCGGGGCUUGCAGAGUCAGCCCGCGCCUCACCGGAACUGGAUGCUGCGUGACGCACUUCCGGCGCGACGGACGGGACGGACGCGCGGGCGGCCCUGACAGGGGAACAGCGGGCUCCUGGGCCAGGUGCGCGGCUGAGUGUGAGAAAGCCAACUGCUGGCUUCCCGCGCUUUUGAAGCAACAGGUUUCUUCCAUGAACUUCUUCGGGGACGGAUUCUCGAACGAGACGCUGAAGGUGGCGUUUCUAGUCGGCCGCUUUUCCUGGGCAGCGGAGCAGCGGGUGGGCGCCGAGGAAGCAGGCCCGUGGCGGGCACGGGUAGGAAGCCUCCGGCCGCGCCCGUCGAUGCUGGCGGCCGCUGCGCGCCCCUCGAGCCCGGCCUGCUUGGGCUUGUUUUGUACGUAGCUUUCCAGCCCCAGGUUGCUGUAGCCGAGCCUUGCUGGGACACUUGGUCACCUGUUCUCGCCAAUGCCUUUGCAUUGCUGAGCAACCCAGCCACGGCCUGGGGACCUGGACCAAGCCGUUCUGCCUUGGAGUGAGCUGAGUAUGGACUAAAAACUCCACAAACGAGGCCAAGACAACCAGAUAGGGCUAUGCAGGGAGCCAGCCCUGGACAUCUACAGUGAGAUCCUUGGAGAACCUUAGCUGAGUGUUGAUGCCUUUGUGAGAGUAAACCAACUACCGAGACAAAAAGAAGCAAGCAGCUCAGCCCUUGUGUUCACUGAAGACUUGGGGUAGCUGUAUUCUCAACAGCCAGGGACGAAAGCAACUCAUGGAACCAUCAAGAAGCCACAGAAAGCUGCUGUCCCACAGAGGGGCAUGUGAGUCCUGGAAGAAAGCUUUGAAUGAAAAAGGAUCAGACUGCUUUUCAGGAAAUCAGCUGUACCCCAUAGCAAAGCUCAACACAGUUUAAAAAAAUACAGAAAUCUCUUACUCAACAAAGUAAAAUCACUGUGUCUUAAACUGAACAAAACAACAAAGAACCAGAAAUGCAAAGAAGCAGAAAAAAUACACAGUACCACAAAGAGUGAAACAGUUCUCUAAAAAAACAGACCCAGAAAUGACACAAAUGAAAUAAUUAGUAGACGAACUUGUUUAAAGCACCUACUAUAAAUCUACUCAAUAUCUUCACAAAGAUAGAAAAAAAGCUUGAGCACAAAGAGAUGAAAGACGGCAAACACCCACAUUCAACUGCUAAAAAGGAAAAGUGCAGUAUCUGAGAUGAAAAUUCUAGGUGGAGCUCCCAACAAAUCAGUACCAAAUAAAUAAAUAAAUACUAACUGGACUUGAGAACAAAGUAAUAGAACCCAUACAGAAUGUAACUGGAAAGGGAGAAAGACUGAAAAAGUACAUUUAUCUGGGAAACAACAAGCAGACUAACAGUCUAUGACUGGAGUC